rnacentral:rRNA from 1 species
AGUGAACGCUGGCGGCGUGCCUAAUACAUGCCAGUCGAACGAUGAAGUCCUAGCUUGCUAGGAUGGAUUAGUGGCGCACGGGUGAGUAAUAUAUAGUUAAUCUGCCCUACACAGAGGAACAACAGUUGGAAACGACUGCUAAUACCUCAUACUCCUAUUUGACAUAAGUUAAAUAGGGAAAGUCUUUUCGGUGUAGGAUGAGACUAUAUCGUAUCAGCUAGUUGGUAAGGUAAUGGCUUACCAAGGCUAUGACGCGUAACUGGUCUGAGAGGAUGAUCAGUCACAUUGGAACUGAGACACGGUCCAAACUCCUACGGGAGGCAGCAGUAAGGAAUAUUGCGCAAUGGGGGAAACCCUGACGCAGCAACGCCGCGUGGAGGAUGACACUUUUCGGAGCGUAAACUCCUUUUAUCAGGAAAGAAUAAUGACGGUACCUGAUGAAUAAGCACCGGCUAACUCCGUG